rnacentral:lncRNA from 1 species
CCCCCCCCCAUCACUUUUCUAAUGGUCCAUCCCUUAGUUAAUUAAAUUUGCUGUAUACAUUAUGUCGCAACGUGUCACUAUUUAAUAAACUUAUGUGAUUACAAAUCAAGCCCGCAAAUCGUUGAAUAUACUCUUACCGCUCGUUGCAAAUCACGCAGGCGCCUAUUUAAAAAGCCCCAGCAACUUAACGCUCGAGAGAGCGUCUUGUUG